GUGCUCACUUCGGCAACACAUACUAAAAUUGCAACGAUACAGAGAAGAUUCGCGUGGCCCCUGCGCCAGGAUGACACGCAAAUUCGCGUUCCCUAUUAAAAAUAA
rnacentral:snRNA from 1 species